rnacentral:tRNA from 2 species
GCGGGUUUAGCUCAGUUGGGAGAGCGUCAGACUGAAGUAAAACUUCGGGAACUACAAAUCUGAAGGUCAUGUGUUCGAUCCACAUAAACCGCA